GAUGAACGCUGGCGGCGUGCCUAAUACAUGCAAGUCGAGCGAACAGACGAGGAGCUUGCUCCUCUGACGUUAGCGGCGGACGGGUGAGUAACACGUGGAUAACCUACCUAUAAGACUGGGAUAACUUCGGGAAACCGGAGCUAAUACCGGAUAAUAUAUUGAACCGCAUGGUUCAAUAGUGAAAGACGGUUUUGCUGUCACUUAUAGAUGGAUCCGCGCCGCAUUAGCUAGUUGGUAAGGUAACGGCUUACCAAGGCAACGAUGCGUAUCCGACCUGAGAGGGUGAUCGGCCACACUGGAACUGAGACACGGUCCAGACUCCUACGGGAGGCAGCAGUAGGGAAUCUUCCGCAAUGGGCGAAAGCCUGACGGAGCAACGCCGCGUGAGUGAUGAAGGUCUUCGGAUCGUAAAACUCUGUUAUUAGGGAAGAACAAAUGUGUAAGUAACUAUGCACGUCUUGACGGUACCUAAUCAGAAAGCAACGGCUAACUACGUG
rnacentral:rRNA from 1 species